rnacentral:lncRNA from 1 species
AAUAUGAGCCAGUUAUUGUCGACACAGACUACAUUUACACAUCUACCUCCAUAAACAUCGAGUUUAGGUCAGAGGUAUGGCCUGUAUGCGACGAUUUUUCCAAGUUAUGGACAGUCGAUGUUUCCUCAUUCGCAGCCAAGGAGCCUGCCAUUAUGGUCGGUGGUGAGAAGAAGAGCCCAAAUAGCUUGUUUAAGAUAGAAGAAGCUACAGGAGCACACACUUACAAGUUGACCACCUCAUCUGGAACCAUUGGAGCCACCCUAGGGGCUAUCUCACAUGCACCACAGCUACUUGUCACCAAUGAUGAGUCUAAGACCUUAUUCGUCAAGUUCGUGAAGGUUGAUGAUGAUGCUACUAAGGCUACUACUUCUACUUCACGUGUUGAGAAGUUAGGUCUAAGGAUGUUCCCAUUCUACUAGUCAAGAGAUCAUGUAAUAUUGUAAAAAGCCCGAGACUCGUCCAUGGCCAUGAGUAAUGGGUUGAGAUAACACCCGCACGCAUGUAUGUGAACUCGUCUUUACCUUCAUAACAAAUCAAAUAAAUUUGUGUUUCCGGAGCUUUAUGUGAUAUAACUUUACACUUUAUAAAAAUCCAGUAGUCCUAAAUUCUAAUGACCCUAUUUCCGUCGCUUGUGAUAAAUGUAAAGUUUUUUUAUUUUUGAACAAAUAUUUGAAACUAUUGGGGGUCUUUGGCCGGCGUCUAUUAAUAUACAAGUAAUAGCAGAGAAAAUCUUGAUUGUGAGUUUUCUGUCGUCACCUAUUUGUUUCCUUGUGAAAAUGUAGAAAUCAUUUUGUGAUUCUUGUUUUAGCUAGUAAUUUUUUUCUAUAAAUUUAGAGAAACGAUUGUGACCAAAAACAAAGAUAAGGAUGUAAACAACCAUUCAUACAUCCUUAUCUCUCUGCAUUUAAACCUUAUCUUCUUCCCAUGAGUUAUUGGUAGUGUUAUCGUUCGUCUUUAAUUUGUAUGUUAGCUACGAUAUGUGAAUGGGAGAAAAGAGGGCUUACCGGUAAUCUCCCAUUCCCGCCGUCGAGUGAACUUUGAACUUUAUAAUUUCUUUCCUUAAGCUUUACAAUAGACCCUUACAAGACUUAUAUACAGAGGACUACUAGGGUUUUAGGAACAAUCUAGAUCUUAGUGUAAACCUUAUCUAUCCAGCUAAGACCUAUUGCUUUACACCUCAAAGCGACUGUGGGGGAGCAAGCUCGUCGUUCCCGUACACGCUCCUCUGUCUGUAGCAUAUGACCGUUGUGGUGAGAAGGAGAGGAGCUUAUUGGGUCUCACUUCAGCUGCAUUGGCUUGGGCUUGGGCUUCGUUGUCCUUAUGCCCCAAAGACUUCCAUUCACUAAUAUUCCCCCUCAAACCAGAGGUGGGUGGAGCACCAACUCCUAGUUUGGCACGCAGCUGCAUGAAAGCUCCCUUUGGCAAAGACUUUGUGAAGAUAUCUGCAAUUUGUAGAGUUGCAAGGAUAUGUCUUGUUUCUAUCAAACCCAAAGCCAUUUUCUCCCUUAUAUAAUGAUAAUCCGUAUCAAAGUGUUUGGACCUCUUGUGUAGAGCCGGGUUAGCACUUAGAUUGACGGCUGAUACGUUGUCACACAACAGCAAAGUAGACUGAGGUUGAGCAAUGCCUAGAUCACGCAGGAGGAAAGAUAUCCACGCAAUCUCCUGAGUUGUAGCCCCUAAAGCUCUGUAUUCAGCCUCUGUAGAUGAUCUUGAAACUGUUGCUUGUCUCUUUGCUGACCAAGAGAUGAAAUUUGGCCCUAGCAGUGUACAAAAGCCAGUUGUAGAUCUUCUUGUCUCUUUACAGCCUGCCCAAUCAGUGUCACAAUAGGCUGAGAGUUGAAGUUGCUCUCCCUCUCCCUUUUGAAUGUAUAAACCAAGCGUUUGAGUGCCUUUGAGAUAUCGUAGGAUGCGUUUUAGAAAUCCAAAAUCAGCUGUAGUAGGCGAAUGCAUCCUCUGACAUACAAAGUUCACUGCAUACUGUAUGUCAGGCCUUGUGAUUGUUAGGUACUGAAGCUUACCUGCCACACUCCGAAAGUAAGUAGGCUCUAAGAACCGUUCUGAUUCUUCAUAGUCUGGUGUUAACGGAAGCGGUGUUGGCAUUGGGUUACAGUCAGUCAUUGACGUAAGAUGAAGUAUCUCCUUGACAUAUGCUGACUGAUGAAAAAACAUUCCCCUUCCGUAGAUUGUAGCUCAAUACCAAGAAAAUAGCUUGGCUGACCAAGAUCUUUCAUUGGAAAACGUUUUCCUAAUGACUCCACAAGUGGUAGUAACAGAGUUUCAUCACUGCCAGUCAACAGAAUGUCAUCCGCAUAGAGUAAUAACACCAUUGUCUUCUGUUGUCCUUAUGGCCCAAAGACUUCCAUUCACUAAUACGAUACACCACUGUGCAUGUUCCUCGUGCUGAAAAUUGAAAUUUGAAUCAGUUACCGUAGAGUCUAGAAACCAAUCGAUGUCAUGGUAAUGAUCAUAAUGUGAGAAGAGGAAAGAGCCAAAAACGUAUUUAAAGCUGAUAGAUACCUUUCGGUUUUUGUUUAGCACAUAUGUUUUUUUACUGUCACACCACGCAGUUUUAAAUUUAACCGCAUAAACUUCCUAUAAAAACGAGUAAUGAUGCCCUAAGCUCGACGUGUCUUCCAAGGCAAUCAUUGGAGGCAGUUGAAUGCUUAUCAUUUGGAACACGACAGCAGAGAAAAGUUUCUGAUCGAUACCUUCACAUUCACAUAGGUCAAAACCCGAACUCAUUUGUAACAGAGAAGACUCGAUCGAUACUCGUUUUUUUCAUGAAGGCAGUCGUUAAAGGCAAUUGUGCUUGCUGAUCUUUGGCUUAUGGUCCUUCGUGUACUCCCAGAACCAAAGUUUUGUUGAGAGAGAGAGAGAACGAGACACAACUUCAUUAAUUGGUUUAUUUACAUAUAAAGAUUUGGUGAUGAGUUCCAUAAAUGAACAAAAAUAUCAAAAGAUUGGGACUUUUAUUUUUUUUCAAUAUCCUCCAACUAGAUUACAAAGUAGCUGCUGUUACGUAGUACGUACAUCAACUAUAUUCUUAUGUAGAAAAUACCUUAGAAAAAGCUAAGCGGCGAAGCCGAGAAAAGCUAAUCUUAUAAUAUGAUUAAAACAUUGAAAAGAAUCGUCCAUUUUACAGAAAUAGAAAAAUCUCAAGUGUUUGACCCAAGAAAAAAAAAAAAAAAAAUCUCAAGUGCAUACGUGAUUCUCACUGGAGCAACCAAGGACCACAGGGACAUGUGUCUUGCAACUGUGUAAUUCUUGAUGCCGUAUGCGUGAUUCUAAUCUCCGAAAACUGAGGAUAUGGUCCACAAAUGAUAGACAUUGUUUUUACUCUUCCUUGUCUUGGCUUCCUGUCGUUCUCUGGUUAUAAAUCUUGAUUGUGAAUUUUCUGUCGUCACUUAUUUGUUUGCUUGUAGAAAUCAUUUUGUGAUUCUUGUUUUAGCUAAUAAUUUUUUUAUAAAUAAAAUUUAGAUAAACGAUUGUGGCUAGAAACAAAGAUGUUAACAUUCAUUUGUUCCUUGUUUCACUCAUUCCUUAUCUCUCUGCUCUGAAAUCUUAUCUUCUUCCCAUUGUUAAAAAAAGAAAUUAAAAAAAAAAAAAUUUUAAAAAAGCUGAUAGAUACCUUUAGAGCAUCAUUAUCUUAGAGACCCCUUAAUUAAUUUUUAAUACUAUUUAAAUAGUAAAUUUGGUUAAGAGAUUUAGUUAAGAAAUUUCAACUUUUAUGUCCUCCUUCAUUGUAAAGUCUCUUAUUUACGGGUUCUUAAAAAAAAAAAAAACCAAAUGAGAGAGCUUCAAGUGAUAAAGGAGAGAGCUUUCAUUACACAAACCUUAGAGACAACAUGCUUUCAAAACAGACGCAAAGCUAAUAGAAUUCAUGAAGCAAUCAAAUAUGUUUGCAUGAUGAGAAGAGCAGUCUACAUACCCGUAAGCGAGCAACCUCUCCAAUUUGCAUUCCGAUAACGCCUUCAUCCCAUCCUGUAAGCAAAAGAUUUCAACAAUUUUAAAUUCAUAUUAGCUCUUGUUAUGGAAAGAAUAACAGAACCAUAACAAUAUGAUCAAACCACAAAACAGAGGAAAAUAUUAACUUUGAUGACAGCACGUUUACCGAUUUGGAAGGAGAAAGGCUUUUGCCCAGCGUCCUUUGUGUUAUUCAUAUACCAAAGUCCAAACACACAUUUAGGCUUAACGAAAUAACAAAAUUAACAAGAAAAGACAAAACCAUAAAGCAACAAUGUGUGUGAGAUGAUCUUUUUACCUCCAGAACUGCUGGGAUGUAUCACCACCUUUCCCUGAAACAAAACACAAAGCAUUACAAAUUACGAUUUCGAAACAAAGGGCAUAUAUAGAGAGUUUCAAUCUCAUACAAGAAACUUGUAUUAUUAUUAUUAGAUAAUUAAGCUUACUACUCCAAGAGGUCGAUUUAUUAUUAGAUCACCACCAGUUCAUCAACAAGUUCUCACACACAUACUCACUCUGAUCUCAGAACAUAAACCCUAAUUAAAUAGAUUUCUCCAGAAAGUAAUCGAACACAAAUAGCGAAACAUCCAACCACUACCACAUCAGCUGAGCAGAAUUUUUUUGUAAGAUCGAUUUUUCCUACAAUGGGAAGUUUCAAAGAUAAAGAGAGGUUUACCGAAUCCGGUGCAGUGAACGGUGACGGUUUGACCCGGGGCGGGUUUGGGACCGGUCCCGGGUCUGAUGAUUUGUUUCUCCGCUCCGUUGCCGGCGGCGCCAUCUCUCUCUCUCGCUGCGAAUUGGGAGAAACUGAAGAAGAGCUAAGUCGGGGAAGAAGGAGAGCAAAAGUCGCAAAAAGGGACGCAUGUUCGUAAGAUCCGUCUCUUGUAGUCUCCAAAUAAGAGACGUGUCUUCACAUAUAAGCUAAUUUUCUUUUAUUUUAAUUCCUAAAUAACAUAAGAACCCCAGCUAAAUACGGUGGAUAAAGAUGCUCUUAGACCAUGAUUAUCGGUGGUUUUUAAAGGGGUCCAUAAAGAAAAAUGGUGAUUUAAUUAAAUCCAAGCAAAAUUAAAAGAGAGUUAUCGAUCCUUAAGAGCAACUUCAAUGGUGUUACCCACCAUUGGAGUCCGUAGGAUUAUAAUAGUAUUUUUUAUGCUUUUUGAAUAGUUAAGGAUUUGAGUCUAAAAUGUAUGCCCAAUGGUGUUACUCAAAAUGAAAUCCUUAGGAAUUUAAAAUUAUGGCUGGGUUUUUCACUAUCGCAAAUCGAGCUUGCAAUACACCAAAAGCACGCUCCACAUCUUUUCGGGUAGCUUCUUGAACUUUAGCAAAUAACUCUGCUUUAGGACCUUGAGGGAGUGUGAUAGAUUGGAUAAAUGUUGACCAUUUUGGAUAUAUACCGUCCGUGAGGUAGUACGCCAAAUCAUAUUGGUGUCCGUUGACCAUGUACGUUACCCUUGGAGCUCGACCUUCAUAAAUGUCAUCAAAUACAGGUGAUCGAUCAAGGACGUUAAUAUCGUUUAAGGUACCUGGAGAACCGAAAUAAGCGUGCCAUAUCCAAAGAUCUUGUGACGCUACAGCCUCCAAAACAAGUGUCGGCUUUCCUGAUCCACGGGUGUAUUGUCCUUUCCAAGCGGUUGGGCAAUUUUUCCAUUCCCAAUGCAUACAGUCGAUGCUUCCAAUCAUCCCCGGAAAGCCGCAGAUCUCUCCAAUAUCGAGUAAACGUUGAAGAUCCUCAGGAAUGGGUCUCCAUAGAUAUUCUUCUCCAAAUAAUAGAAUGACGGCAUCUGUGAAAUGGGUUAAACAUGAAAGUGCGAUGCUUUCACCGAGUCGGAGAUACUCGUCGACGGCGUCAGCCACACAGCCAUAAGCAAGCAUACGAAUAGCCGCCGUACACUUUUGUAGUGUAGAUAGACCCAACCGUCCGACCGCAUCUCUCCUUUGCUGAAAGAAUGGAACAUUUGCUGAGAGGGUGUCGAUAAUACGCAUGAAUACUUGCUUGUUCAUGCGAAAACGACGUCUGAAUAAAUUUUCCGGAAAUGACGGAUUUUCACUAAAAUAGUCAUUCCAUAGACGGUUAUGGCCCGCUUCGCGGUUUCGUUCGACAUAUGCACGUUUCUUCUUUUUAUCUGCUUGAUUCUCCACGAUGUUGUUGUAUGUGUCUUCAAAAUAUUCAUCAAAAGCCUCAUUGACAGCCGCAUCGAGUCUUCGGUCGACUUCAUCUGCCAUAUUUGCCUAUCCUUCCUUCAAAAAUUAUUUAGAUUAAUGAAGAAAACAUUUCAAUCUUACAAAAUUGUGUUUUAGCAUAUUUUUUAAAUCUAAAACCGUUCUCUACAAUUAUAGAAUGUGUUUUUCUAAAUCAUUAGCUCAAUUACUAGGAACACUUUAAAUUUAUGAAUACAAUUCUACAUGAAAUUUUAUAUUGAGGCUCAAUAAUGUUGUAGUUUAUCAUGUUGUCAAAAUUUUGAGGCGACAUAGAUGUAGAAAAGUCAGCAUACAAAAUGCAAAGCACGUAAAUAUUACAGGAUGCAGUGGGAUGAGUGGAGCCUUUUUGUGUAUCGAUUGAUUGUAAUGGUUGUUGUGUAUCGAGCCUUGUUUAUUAUUUUGGUUUGUAAAUAUGUAGUAGAAGGCAAAGAAGAGCAUAGGAAACAGAAAACACUAAAACAUCAUUUUACAUCCGUUUUUAAGACAAUACAAGGAAGAAGAAGCACACUUGGUUCACUAAACAUCCGAGUCUACAAAGAGACUUAUAAAGGCAACAUGGUACAUGACUUGGUCCACAUCAAAAUACAAACAGAAAGAUACAAAUAGCCCGUGACUUGGUUGAUUUCUAAAUAACAGGAGAAAGAGACAAACCACCCGUGACUGAAAAUACAAACAGAAAGAUACCAGCUUUAGUCUUCAACAAGCACAUGGUCUUGUACUUCACCUGAGACAGAGGAAAAUCACGUGUGUAAGCAGAGGAUAAUCACGUAUGUAAAAGUGAAAUGACAACUACACUUGAAACUAGUCUAAUGCAAACAUGUGAAACUAAGGUUAGAGCUAACAAACCCUACAACAACUCAGACAGAAGUUUCAUUUUGAGAGCUGAUUCCAUCUCAGAGAGAGGCUCAGACUUUGCAAGCAAACACUCUAGCAAACUUUGCUUUGAGAUUUGUUUUUUGAUCUCCAACAAAUUCUCAAGCUUUGCCAAUUCUUCUUCUUUUCCAGUUUUCUUCCUCUUUUUAGCAGCCUUCGCAGCCUUAACCCCAACUGGUCUCUCCUCUGGCUCUGGCACUGUCCCUUCGCCAUCAACAAGAUCCACUGGUUUGCGCUUUUCCUUCUCAAGAUAGGUGGAGCACCACUUCACAUCAUGCCUAAGCUCUCUCCACGCGUGUUCCAAGUUGAACUUCUGGUUCUGGUCGCUGUGGAAGAUAUCCAAGGCUGACUUCAUCACAUCGUUGUCAUUUUGCCCGCUCCUCUGCUCCCUCAGUGCCAUGUCGUAACAUCCAGCAAAUUUACAGACCAAAUCAUUGAUCCUAGCCCAUCUUUGCUUGCAUUGCCCAAGUUCUCGAGGGAUAGUCCCAACCAGAAGAGGACUAGCGUUGUAUUACUCUACAAUUCUCUUCUAGAAGGCUCCAGCUUUUUGUUCAUUACUCACUAUUGGGUCUUUGCUGGUGUUGAGCCACACACCUAUGAGGAUUACAUCCCCUUUCGGUGACCACUUUCUCCUCUCUUUGACACUAGACUCAUCACUACUUUGACCGGAAAAAAAAGGUUGUGAUGAGCCAAGGUCAAUUGACCCUUGGCUCGCUAAUAGGUUAACAUAACCAUUAUUAUUUGCCAUUUACGAAGAAGUCUGUGUUUCUCUUGUAGAAACACAGAGGAUUAAAUAAGGGAUUCUCCAUUAACAGCAUUGAAGCGUAGUGGAAAUCUGUCCUAUCAGAACAGCUCACGACCUUUAAAUGAAUGUUUUAGUCUAAAAAGAAGCAGUUAAGGCACAAUUUAAUGAUCGUUUCGUGGGAAUUUAAACUACGAAGUUAACCUUAUUUUCAAACUACAACGUUAACCAGUGAAAAUCCUAGUUUGGUUUCAAACUACAAGGAGACACACCCCACUAUCCUAGUUUGUUUUCAAACUACAGAGUUACACACACAUGAUCCUACUAAAUAUUUAAACUGUUGAUUUAAAGUGUUCAAAACACUAACCUCAGCGGACUCUCUCAAGUUCACACACACGCUCAAGAAGCAUCUUAACCUGAACAUGAAGAGACAUCAGAGACAAAACAAUAUGUUAGAAAGAUUGUAAAAAUUAGUUUCAACGUUAAGUAAGAAACUAACCUUAAGCGCCUCGCACUCGCGCAUGAGCUUCUCCUGCUCGAGAAACUUUAGGUUGAGCCUCUCAAUCUCUUGUUGCACACCCAUUACCCAUGGCUGCCUAAAAUGCAGCCCGUCGUUCUGCCAAAACAUAAAAUUCAUAAGCAAACAGCAAAACAAUUUGGAGUAUAAAGAGACAGAACAUUUCGAACCUGGUAGUCUGUGCAGAUGAAGUAUCUUUUCCUCGGGAUGUAAUCAUAUGUAUCAUCUUCGUCGACAAACUCCUUUGUGAUAGAUCCACAGGGGCACAGCUUCGGAAUUCCCUGUUGGGCAUCUGAAACGAAAUGAAGCAUGUUGUAGUACGCUUUGUGUGCUUUCAUGUCUCGCAGUUCGUCCUCCAUUUAGAACCUAAAAGAACAAAAAAAAUAUAAGCGAAUCAUCAAAAGCCCCAAAUUAUAAAACCCUAAAUCGAUUUAUAAAAGCCAACAUCGAAUGACAGCUCAAUCACGGACCCUUAAAUCCUCCAAAAUAACCAAGAACAAUAUCGAAAAGAAGAGAUUGGCAAACCCCGACAGAAACCCUAAUUCGAAUUUAAUCCCCAAUCGAUAAUGAAACCCGAAAUCUAUUGAAACCCAUGAAUCGAAUCCAUAAAAACAGGAGAAAUCUACAUGCAUCUACUCCAUAAGAAAGAAUAGUGAGUUUAAACGGUCGGAUUUGGCCGGAUUUACCUAAAACGAAGCAGAUCGCUGAAUCACCUUUGUCGUCGCCUUUAGAGAAGGAGAAGUUUUUUUUUAGCUCGAGCCGCGUAAAUGAAACUUUCCCUUCCCCCAUACGAAACGCAACGCUUCACCCCACCAAUCAGAUGUUGCCAGCUCAUUUAGGAUCAAAGCCAAAAAAUCCUUAUUUAAGGAUUCUUUCUUAGCGUAAGCUAAUUUAAUAAUAUUAUUUUCUCCUAAAUUGUACUUAGCGCUAAGGAAUAGGUUACAUCCCGCGUUGCAUGUGGUCUAACGGGGCACUUUGGUGACCGAUUUUAAGAACUACGUGUCAGUCCCACAGAUUUUUUUUUUCUUUUUUUCUUUUCUUUUCUAGUUGUUUCGUUUACUCCGUCACAUAAGAAGGAUCGAUACAGACGACGGAUUACGACUCCCUCGGUUGAGUCGACGUCUCCUCCGUAUCUUCAUUUGUUAUUGUUACCUUCGCGAAGGUCUUUUCGUUAAAGCUUCGAAAAGCGACGAUGGGUUUUGUUCAGCUCCUUCGAUCACUGAAUCAGACGAGAAGCCAAAACCCAUUUACUGGAAAAGUCACGAAUCCAACACUCUCUCCUUCACACCUCCGAGGUUCGAAAUGUUUUUCUUUACAACAAUCGUAGUCUCUAGCUUCGUGUCAUUGAAAGUUUGAUACUUUUGUCGCUUAACUUCUAUUUCUUGUUAGAGAUUGGUUUAGUGCUUAGUCUGACAGAAUUUCAAGCUCUUGUAUUGCUCUUAACUUCUAGAAGAUCAUAUUGGUGCUGACAUAGUAGAUAUGAAAGCUUGAAGUUCAAUUCUUUUGGAUACAGAUUCGUCUCUUUUAUAAAAGGUUGUCCCUUUCUGUAUAUUUAGAUUAGUUUUCUAAUUUAAAUUUGAUACCGAGCAUUCUGCAUUUGGAUGUUUGUUGUAGUUGUUUAAGUGAUGAAAAGCUCGUGACUUUUGGUUUCUCUUGUCAAAGCUGAUCCACAGACCAAACCUAUGGAUUCUCCACAGCUCUUGUCAAAAUUUAUUAUUCAUCGUUGUUCUAGUUUUGGAGAAUUGAGUUUAUAUUUUUUUUCCUGCAGGUCAUUUAUCAGAUUAAGCUACCAGGACCUGCAAUACUAGGAGAGGUAAUUUCAAUUGUUCAAUUUGUAUUUGUCAUCGUGGGUUAUGAUUGUUUAGUUGGUAAUCUGAUUCAUUAUCUUUGACACACUGAUACGUCCUUGAAUGUGGUCUAGUUCUGUUGCCUGUUAACAAGAGAGGACUGUUACAUUCCCCAAAACCUGAUCUCUGUCAGAAAGUAUCAAGCUUUGAGCUUGAUGAUUCUCUAGUUCAUUGUGUUCUUCCAAGAUUUGAGGUAAUUUAAAUAAAUGGGUUCUCACUAGUUUCCCAUUCUUCUUCUUCUGAUCUGUGCUUAUAUAGUGGUUUGAUCUUUUGUCUUUAAGGUAGAAGAUGGAGCAGUUCAAAGAGAGGAAGUUCGCAGAGAAUGUGGUAAAGGUUUCACUUCUUCUAAAGCUAUUUGUGGUCACAUGGCUUGUCACUUUGAGAGAGAGAAGAGGGUGUCAUGUUCUCAUUUUUUUUCAGGUCAAGAAGAGUGUAAAGUCAUCAGUCAUCAGUCACGGACUUGUGUAGUAAUCACUUGUGCAAUGCUUACGUACUAACUCUUGUAAUCUUGUAUUCUUGCAAACUCUUGUAGUCAUCAGUCAGGAGUUGUAAAGCUUUGUGUCUAUAUAAACUUGUGAACUCUUGUAGUCUUGUGAACUCUUGUAGUCUUGUCUAUAUAAACUUUGUAUACCAAACUUUUAUUCACAACACAACACUCUUCUUCAUUCAUCACACAUCUUCUUUCAAGUUCCUUCUCAAGUUUUUUUUUGAAAACAAGUUUCAUAAACAAGUUUAUAAACAAGUUUCCUUCGACUUGUAAACAAGUUUUAUAAAAAAAAAUUAUCUCAUGGUUUCUUUUUCUUAAAACACUUUUGAGGGAUCACUUGAUGAAAAUUUUGAUCAAACUUUUGAGAAUUUUUCCAUUCAUUUACCUUUGAAAAUUUUUCAAUUCAAGCUCGGAUUUUUUUUUCGAAUUAUUUUCGAUUAUUGUACUAAUCUUUGUUAUUAUGUAUUUUUUUAAAUCUAUGUUUUAAAUGUUAUCUUUUUAUAGGUUUUAUUUAAUAAAUAAAAUUUUAUUAAAAAUAAAUAAUUUUUUUUAGAACCCCUAAUUAAGAAACUCUCAUUGGACCGCUCAAAAUGGGAGUUUCUUAACUAGAGUUCUUAAUCUCACUUAAGUAUAUUUAAAAUAUUAAAUAAUCAUUAAGAAACCCACUUAAGGAUCAUGGGAUAAUCAUGCUCUUAGGUUUUAUUUACCACACGAUUUUUUUUGAACUGUCACAUGCACCACACAGUUUUAAAACUUAACCGCAGAAACUUCCUAUAAAUACCUGUACAAUGUGUGUUGCUCUCCACAACUCAACUCACUCAAAUCCUAAAAACACACACAAAAAAAGAAAUUAAAAAAUAAUGAAGAAUCCUUCGGUGACCUCUUUUCUCAUCACUCUCCUCUUGUCUGCAGCUGUCUGCGCCCACGGCACUACACAGAUCGACGGAACUCCAGUUAAGGUCGGGGAAAAAUAUUUCAUGCUGCCGGUUAAGACAGAGAAUAACGAUGGAGGUGGUCUUGUUCCAGCCGCCACCAACAUACUUCCCUCUUGUCCACUUGGCAUCACCCAAACACGUCUUCCGAACCAACGGGGCAUCCCCGUUAGCUUCCGAUAUACAGAAACUAUCGACAGAGACUACGUUACCACAGACACCUCUAUAAACAUCGAGUUCAUGUCGAUGACUCCUCAUCUGCCAUUAUCAUCGGUGGUAAACACAAGAGCCCAAAUAGCGCGUUUAAGAUACAAAAUGUUACGGUAGAAGAACACACUUAUAAGUUGACCACCUCAUACGGAACCGUUGGAACUACCCCACCGCAGCUACUUGUCACCAAUGAUGAGUCUAAGACCUUAGUUGUUCAGUUCGUGAAGGCUGAUGAUGAUGCUACUAAGGCUACUUCUCGUGUUGAAAAGUUAGGUCUAAGGAUGUUCCCAUUCUACUAGUCAAAGAUCAAGAUCAUGAAAUGUAAGAAUCCUUGAGAACUCGUCCAUGGCCAUGAUUAAAUGGGUUAUAGAUAAUACCCGCAGGUAUAUAUGUGAACUCGUCUUUACUUUCGUAAAUAAAUCUCAUGAAUUUGUGUGUUUUCAGCGCGUUAUGUAAAUACCCGCACGUAUGUAUGUGAACUCUGUCUUUACUUUCAGAGUAUAAGUUUAUGUUUUCCGGCGCUUUACGAGAUAUGUACCUUUUACAUUAAAACGAUAUCCGAUAAUCUAGUACUAAAUUCUCAUGACAUAUGCAUAUCACCAAUGAUCCUAAAUCUAUUUUGGGUAAACCUAACCUCUGUUUUUAAAAGCUCUGUUCAUCAAGAGUUACUAACAAGGUAUAUAUAAUAUAUAGGUUACUUUUACCUCAAGAAUCUCUAUUCUUCUUCUGUUUUAUCAAAAUCUUGAGUUUGUAUAAUGAUAUUCUUUUUUUUCUUUAAUUUUGUUACAACGAUGACUAUCCAUUUGAUUCAGCAUGAAUGCCUAACAAAAAGCUGGACAGCUCAAUGAUUAUUUCACCAAAAAGGAGAAAGCUAAAUCCAAUACUCUUCUUAAUCUACCAGGUUUAGAUGAUGUCUUAGUUAUCUGAUCCUCCAUUAGCCUCUCCACGUCUGGUCUCAUAUCAUGAACCAUUUUAACCGACUCAGAGAGACGGUUGAGCAAGUUCACCAGUGCAAUCACCUCAUUACGUUGCAGUUGAAGCUGGAAAAAAACAAUAUUUCAGAUAAUCAAAAUGCUUAUGUUCAAAACGAUGCAUAUACACAUUAAGAAACUCACUGUUUGGUCACCCUCCUUGUCUUGGUUUCCAACAGAGAAGAAUAUUUUCAAUGCUGUCCCUAGACCCUGAACCUGAAGCUUCCCCCAAAGCCGACAUUUUUCACAACCUACACAGUCCAUCAGUGCACUGCAAACACAUACAUAACUUAUGGUUAGCCGACAUAUUAAAGCUCUAUGAGUGUGUCGUUUUCAAGUAAACACAAACCUUAUAUUCCUGAAUUUUUUCUGGAUCUGCUGCUUCAGUUCAGGUCCACCUUGACCUUGCCACAGCUUAGCUUCAUCAAAAGGAACAGGACAUGCUGUUUGGAGUUUCGGACUGUACAACAACUGUUUGAUCAAGGACUGUGUUUUCAGAUCUUCCGCAUGGUUCCCUGUGUCAUACUCUGCUUGCUCCAAGUACUCUGUUGCCUAUACGUUGUAAGAGUCAGUAAAGCUUGUUCAGAUUUGGCAUUUGUCAAAGACCGACAGAAGAGAAGUUAAAGCACGCAGCACAAACAGAUACGUGAAGUACAUGUUUCUGACACGGUCCGGAUGCCUCAGAAUACGAUCAUACAUCAGCUCGAUGUUCUGUCCCCACUGGUUGCGUGACUCGUCAAGAAGAUAAUCACCAGCGAUGUGCGUGGGGAUUGAAGAAUGAAGACCUGAUAUCAGUUUGUACAAAACCUUUUUCUCUGGACAUGUUUCUCCAGACGAAUCUGCAUGUACAAACAUCAUCACAUUACAAGUCUUUCAUCUCACAAUACUAAAAAAAGCGAUGGAGAAGGAGAAACUCACAUUUUGGGCAGUUCUCUGAGUAUAUAGAGUCCCAAAUCCUUCUAGCAGAAGGUCCAGUGUAACCAGUUAAAUUAUGAAUGCAGUUUACAAACAAAAAACAAAAAAAAAGAAAAAAGAAAAAGGAAAAAUAAACACUUUCACUAUGAGAAACUUCACCAUUGCGCUUGUCCUUAACUAGUUUUAAAUCAGUAUCUUAUCAAUAAAGAAGUUGGAGAAAAUUAAACACUUUCGCUAUGAGAAAUUUGAAACUACUAACAAAUGUCAUGGUAAAGUGGUUCACUUAAGCCUUUUUACAUAGUGAAAGUGUUUAUUUUUCUUUUUUCUUUUUUUUUGUUUUUUGUUUGUAAACUGCAUUCAUAAUUUAGAUAAAAGUAUAAAUACUAUAAAAUUUAUGAAAAACUUUUUUCUGAGAUUCCCCAGCAACAAAAAAUGAUUUUUGUUACAACCGAAAAACAAUUUCGAACAUACUAUUGGUCUAACUGAUAAUUAUCUCGGGAAUACUAGAAACAAAUAAGAAAAAAUGGAUGAGAAUAAAAUUAUGGGAAUGAUAAAAAAUGAUAAUUCUAUAUCAAAUUUAGUGAAUUUGUUCUUUACUUUUCUACAAUAAAAAAAUGAGAAAUAGCGAAAGGAAAUAACUAUUCUUUAUGAAUUGGUAAAAUUUAUCAGGAAUAUUAAAGAACACAUUAUUCAUCUUCGUUCUUUUGUCACCAUCUAUAUGUUUUCCAACACAGUUAUACAAACUAAAAAUCCUAAUUUAAUUUGGAACAAAUUAAUAAAAUAAUACAAACUACACCCUGAUCCGCGCGCCAGCGGGGGUAUGAAUUUUCAGUUUUUAAUUAUUUAUUUUAUUAAAUGAUGUAUUUGUAAUAUUCGUUCAUAUUAUAUUCAUUAAGUAAAUAUUUUUUUUUUGCAUCUUAAACUAUCUAUUUUUUUACGAAUGUGUGAUAUCAUAUAAAAAAUAUAAAAAAAUGAGUAUAGAGUUAAUUAGAUAAUUUUAAAAACAGAAAUUUUUCUUUCAUGUGCGAUAUCAUAUAAAUAAUGAUCCGCCCAGUUAACAAAAAUCAUGAUUAUUUUAUGUGUAAUUUUUUUUAUUUUGACCAUUUCCUUAAAACUAUAUUAAAUUUUACAUAUUUUAAUUAGAAUAUUUUUAAUAUCUUUACCUUUUUAUUUGAAAUGCAACUCAAUAUUUUUUUAACAAUUAUAACAAAAUAUUUAAAAAAUAUUUUUAGAAUUUGUUUGAAAAAUAUGAAAAUUAGAUUUGAAAUUAAAAUUAUCCUAAAAUAUGAUAAGUUUUGAUGUAAACGAAAACUCAAAUUAUGUCAAAAAUAAUGAUAUUCAAUGAUAAUAACAAUUUUAAUUGAUUAUUUUUUUAAAAAUACAUUUACAAAAAUGAAAAUAUUAUAAUUAAAUAUAAAAAAUAUAAAUAAAAACCAUAAAUUUAGCAAAUGACAACUGAGUUAUAUUAUGCUAAAAUUUUCUUUCUAACAAUUUAUCAAAUGACAAAUAAGUUAUGAGCAAAUAAUACCAUAUAUUUUUUACAAACAUAGCCAUUCUUAAAUAUUUUAUGAAUAAAUAAUUAUUUUUAAAUUUAAUCAACUGAAAAUAAUAUCCGUACAAUUGUGUGAGUCAAAUUGUAGUUUUAUUGAUGCAUGUUAUAUAUUAGUGCUGCAUGUUUUAGGUAACAUUUUAAUGAUGCACGUUUUUAAAAAUCUCUAUUAUUAAAAUUAUGCACGUAAGGAUAACUCAUGAGUUUUUUUGGUUAAUUAAAAGACAUUAUGUCCAAAUUUAUUUAAAGAUAUUUCAUUAAGAUAAUUGAAAAAGACAAACAAUAAAAUAGGAAGUUUAAAUUCAUUUAAGCAUAUUUCAUUAAUGUAACUGAAAAGACAAGUAAUAAAUUAGGCAGUUUUAUUCGUUUUAGGACAUUUCAUAAAUGCAACUGAAAAAGACAAGCAAAAAAAAAAAGAAAUUUAAUUAAUGAAGUAAGAACAUUUUCAAAUGGAUACUUCUCUUUUAAUAAUAUAGAUAUAAUGAUUUCUUCACUGAAUUAUCUAAAUCAAAUACCAACGCUCUAUGAAUAUCUGGGCCGAUAGAUUUACAUGGUCAAGAGUAGGAAAUUACAAAUCAUCUUAUAUAUUAAAAUAGAAGUCAUGACUUCUUACAUGUGUGAUUUUUUUUUAAUUUGGACCAUCACUUAGAAAUCUUAUUAAACGUAUUUUAUUAAGACUAAUAAUACAUAGAAUCUUUAAAAUACUUUAAUCAUAAUAUCUUAUAUAUUAAAAUAGAAGUCAUGACUUCUUACAUGUGUGAUUUUUUUUUAAUUUGGACCAUCACUUAGAAAUCUUAUUAAACGUAUUUUAUUAAGACUAAUAAUACAUAGAAUCUUUAAAAUACUUUAAUCAUAAUAUCUUAUAUAUUAAAAUAGAAGUCAUGACUUCUUACAUGUGUGAUUUUUUUUUAAUUUGGACCAUCACUUAGAAAUCUUAUUAAACGUAUUUUAUUAAGACUAAUAAUACAUAGAAUCUUUAAAAUACUUUAAUCAUAAUAUAUUUUGAUAUCUUUUCAUUUUAAGUAUAAAUAUAUUUAUUUUAAACUUCUAACAAAUCUGUUUUAAAAGAUUUUUACAAGAUCUUCGUUUUCGAAAUUAUAUUUAAAUAUUUUCACUAAUUUUGAAAUUAGUUUGAAAUAUUAUUAUACAUUAAUAAAUUCAGUAAUCGUUUAUAAAAUAAAAAAUAAAAAAUUCUGUAAUAUUUUAUAUAUUAUAUAAUCAUAAUCAAUCAUAUUAAAAGAAAAUUAUUAUAUUAAGCUAAAUAUAAUAAAAUUAAAUUAAAUUUAUAAAUUUUAUAUAUUUUAUAUAUAUUAUUUUCGUAAGUAUAAAAUAUUUAUGUUCAAAAAUAAAAUCUAAUACGUUGGUAAGAUGGGUUAACAUUAGCAAACUAUAUAAUACAUGUAUAAAAAUUAACAUGUAUUUCUUUAAAGCUUAUAAUAUAAAAUAUUUGUAACUACUUUAACCAUAAUAUAUUUUCAUUUUAAAUAUAAUAUAUAUUUAUAUUUUAUAUUUUAAAAAUUAUAAUAAAUCUGUGUAAAAAUAUUUUAGCAAUAGUUUAAUGUAUUUUAAGUUAUCGUUCAUAAAAUGAAAAAUAAAUAAAUUAUAUCCUAUUAUAUCUAUUUUAUAGUCAUGAUCAUGUUAAAAUACAAUUACUAUACUUAAAUAAAUAUGAUAAAAGUAUAUUCAAUUGAUAAAUUUAUAAAUUUUAUUUUCAUAAAUAUAAAUUAUUUAUUUUAAAAAUAUAAUAUGAUGAUAGAACGGCUUAAAAUUAGCAAACCAUAUAAUACAUGUCUAAAAAUUAACAUAUCUUAGACUUUUGUAUAUACAAUAAUAUAUUAUCUAAAAUGAAUAAGCAUAAAAAAUAUUAGUAAAAAGAAAUACAGCUUUGAAACACGAAUCAUAAUUUAGCAUAAAUUAAAUGCAAAAUAAUUUUCAAAUAUGUUUUCUCAUGAAUAUAUUAAUUUGCUUAAUAACUAAUGCAAAUACAAUAAGAUAAAUAUAUAAUAAGAAAUUAAAAUACAUACGGUUUUAAACAGUUGAUUAAUUAUAACAUGUAAAUUAUAAAAUUAUUGUAUUUGAAAUAGUUAUAUAAACAUUUAAAUAGAUAAUUAAUAUUAAAAAUUUAUAUCUCUAAUAUUUUAAAAUAAUAAUUUAUGUAUAGAAAAGUGAGAACAAACAUCCGCGCAAAUCUAGUUUUCCUUAAUACAAUACUGACCGACGAAGACAAAGACGCCGGCUUUUGCCAACUCUUCGUCGAAACCCUAGAAGGACCGGCUCUUACUUGGUUCACCGGCCUCAUAGAAAACUCCGUCGACUGUUUCCACGACCUCUCAACGGCUUUCCAGAUAAUUAAUAUUAAAAAUUUAUAUCUCUAAUAUUUUAAAAUAAUAAUUUAUGUAUAGAAAAGUGAGAACAAACAUCCGCGCAAAUCUAGUUUUCCUUAAUACAAUAGUCCACUCGAUCAGCUAAAGAAAGCACGUUUGCUCGGACCGAGUUGGGCCGUUUGUCUUAUUAGUUACGAAGUUCUACACAACCCAGUUUAUUUUAGGAUCCCUAUUCGAUUGAUGCCCUAAUCUCGACGUGUCUUCCAAGGCAGUCACUAGAGGCAGUUGAAUGCUUAUUAUUUUGAACACGACAACAGAGAAGAGUUUCUGAUCGUUACAUAGGUCAAAACCGGAACUGAUAUGUAACAGAGAAGACUCGAUCGAUACUCGUUUUUUCAUGAAGGCAUCGUUGGAGGCAAUUGUGUGCUUGCUGAUCUUAGGCUUAUAUAUUGGUCGCGGCUUGGAACAAAGACAAACUUGCAGCAGGAUUGGGUUGGGUGUUCUCGGGACCAGGGUUCGAAGCUCCAAUCAACGGAUCGAUGGUUGAAUCAUCGAUCGGCUCACCACUAAUCGCAGAGGCCUCUGCAAUCAGAUCAACCCUUUGCAUGGCGAUCACCUUGGAAAUUGGUUCUCUCGAGGUGCUCUUCGACGACUUAAUGCUCAUUCGAGCAAUCUCCAGCAUCACUCAGGCGAAGGAAAUCAUCGGUAUAGUGAAAGACAUCCAAUCGAUAUCUACUGAGUUUGCAUCAAUUUCCUUUUCGCACAUCCCACAAUCUCUCAACGCUAUGGCUGAUGCCCUAGCCAAAGAUUCUCUUCGCUGUAAUAAACAUUUUGGGCUUGGGCCCCGCUGGGCUCAUUCUCCAUCUUUUAUUUAAUGAAGCCUUUUAUGUGACAAAAAAAGAGCUUAUAUAUUGGUCCUUCUUCAUGUACUCCCAGAAGCAAAGUUUUGUUGAGAGAUAGGACGAGCAGAGCCGGGCCUGACCACAAGCUGGUCAAGCAUGGGCUUGGGACCAAUAUCUAUAUAAUCAGUUUUGGGGGCCAAUUUGGCAACAGUCUCUGUUUGUUCAGUGGAUGAAUAGGUUGUUUCAUUUGUCAAGGUCAUGGGUUCAAGCCAGCUUAAUAAUAUUUUUGGGGCCAAAUUUUUUUUGACUGCUUCUAACCCUAGAAAAGUGCACGGCCUUGAGGACGAGACACAACUUCAUUUAUUGGUUUAUUUACAUAUAAGAUUUGGUGAUGAGUUUUAUAACAAUGAACAAAAAUAUCGUUAAGAUUGGGUCUUUUAGUUAUUUUCAAUAUCCUUCAGCUGAAUUACAAAGUAGCUAUUGUGUUGUUAAGUAUAGCCAUAGUGUAUAUUUGUGUAGAAAAUACCUGAGGAAAAGCUAAUAGGCGAAGCCAAGAAAAGCUAAUCUUAUGAUAUGAUUAAAACAUUGAAAAUAAUCGUCCAUUUUGCAGAAAAAAGAAAUCUCAAAUGCACACGUGAUUCUCACUGGAGAAUCCUUAAUGCCGUAUGUGUGAGGGUUUUAGUUUCAAGACAAAUACGGAUAUGGUCCACUGAUGCAUAAUGUUUCUGCAUCUUCCUCUCUUCAUAAGUAUAAUUCAUGGAGACCACGUUUUUGCUCUUCCUGGUCUUUGGUUCGUGUCGGUCUCUGGUUAUAAAUCUUGAUUGUGAAUUAUCUGUCGCCACUUAUGUGUCUGCUUGUAAAAGGGAGUGGUUACGUCCAGUAUGUCCCCCCUUCUUCCCGACAUGCUAUGGUGCCCCGGGGUGGGUAGGAGCGGGUCGAGUCCGUAUCGCCGCGGAGCAACAGCCGCGUCCGGAUCAGAUCUAUCUACUCGGCAAUUCAUCCGGUGACUUCACGGUCGCCAAAGAAGCCCCUGGUCUUUGGUUCGUGUCGGUCUCUGGUUAUAAAUCUUGAUUGUGAAUUAUCUGUCGCCACUUAUGUGUCUGCUUGUAAAAAUGUAAAAGUCAUUUUGUGAUUCUUGUUUUAGCUAAUAAAUUAUUUUUAUAGAUAUAGAGAAACGAUUGUGGCUAGAAACAAAAGAUGUUUAAAUUCAUUCGUACGUUGUUUUCACUCAUCCUUAUCUAAGUCUUGUCAUCGUUCGUCUUUGUUUUCUAUGUUAGUUACAAUGGACCACUGUGCAUUUUCCUCGUGCUAAAAAUUGAAAUUCAAAUCAGUUACCAUAGAGUCUAAAGCCUAAAACACCAUCUUCUCAACUCAGCCCUCCCUGUACUAGAAACAAACCCAUAUCACGGGAAUUCAAAUCAGUUACCUUUAGUCUUUUUUACCACACAGGAUUUUUACUGCCACAUGCACCACGCUGUUUUAAAUUUAACCGCAUAAACUUCCUAUAAAUACCCGUACGUUGUGUUUGCUCUCUUCAACUCAACUCACUCAAACCCCAAAACACACACAAAACAAUCAAAAUGAAGACUUUUUUUCUAGUUACUCUCCUGUUGGCUGCAGCUGUCUGCACCCACGGCAGAGAACAGGUGAAGGACUCCAACGGAAAUCCAGUUAAGCGCGGUGCAAAAUACUUCAUCCAGCCGGCUAAGAGCAACGCCGGUGGUCUUGUUCCAGCCGCCAUUAACUUACUUCCGUUUUGUCCACUUGGCAUCACCCAGACACUUCUUCCCUACCAACCGGGCCUGCCGGUUAGCUUCGGAUAUGAGCCAGUUAUUGUCGGCACAGACUACAUUUACACAUCUACCACAAUAAACAUCGAGUUCGAGUCCGACAUCUGGCCCGUAUGCAACGAGCUUUCCAAGUUAUGGGCAGUCGAUGUUUCCUCAUCCGCUGCCAAGGAGCCUGCCAUUAUCAUCGGUGGUGAAAGUACGGCCCCAAAUAGCUUGUUUAAGAUAGAAGAAGCUACAGAAGCAAACACUUACAAGUUGACCACCUCGUACGGAACCGUUGGAACCAUCCCAGGGCCAUGGUUAAGUGCACCACAGCUGAUUGUCACCAAUGAUGAGUCUAAGACCUUAUUCGUCAAGUUCGUGAAAGUUGAUGAUGCUGCUACUAAGGCUACUACUUCUACUUCACGUGUUGAGAAGUUAGGUCUAAAGAUGUUCCCAUUCUACUAGUCAAAAUCAUGUAAUAUUGUAAAAAUCCUGAGACUCGUCCAUGGCCAUGAAUAACGGGUUGAGAUAAUACCCGCACGUAUGUAUGUAAGCUCGUUUUUACUUUCAGAAAAAUCAAAUAAUUUGUGUAUCCGACGCUUCAUGAGACAUACCUUUUACAUUAAAACCAUAUCCGAUAAUCUAGUUCUAAAUUUUCCUGACAUAUCAGCAAAGAUCCUAAAUCCGUUUUUGGUUAAACCUAACCAAUCAAAGUUACACCGUUCAUGAUAUGUAGUCGAUAUAUCCAGAGUUCCAAUCAAGUUUCUCGAAUUUUAUGAAAAACUAUUGUAGCUCUUCUAAAUGACAUUUCAAAAAUCCCAAAUUUCACCAGUAAAAAUUUAGGUCUGGGCGUUCGGGUCUUCGGGUUGGGUUCGGGCCGGUUCUUUUCGGGUCCGGGUCUUUUCGGAUCCUAAAUAUUUAGAUCCAAUAGGUACUUAGAAAUUUUUGGUUCAGGUUCAGGUCGGUUCUUCUCGGGUCCGGAUCUGUUCGGAUCUAUAAUUAAAAUACCCAUAAAAUACCCAUAAUUUUUCGGGUCCAUAUCGGGUCGGGUUCGGGUAUUUAGGAUCUGAAAAAGACAUGAUAUACCCAUAAAAUACCCGUAAAGCUUUAUAUUACUUAAAAAAUGUUAAAAAAUAACAAAUGUUGUUCGCAAAAUAUAUUUCAACUAAAUCAUAAAAUAAUACAUACAAAAUAGAACACAAAAAAUCAUAUUUUUAGAUAUACAUGUUUUUAAGUCGGGUACAAAUCGGUUCUUAUUGGGUCGGGUCUAUUCGGGUCGGUUCCUUUUCGGUUCCGGUUCCAAUUCAAUGUGCUUCGUUCUUCCAUGGAACACUGGAUUACUGGCCAGCUUGAUAGCACUUUGAUUAUCUUCAUAGAUGGUAAUCGAUUUAUUGAUUGGCUCGAACAAUUCUUCAAAGAGUCUUCGAAGCCAUAUACAUUCUUGGGCUGCGAGUGUUGAAGCUUUAUACUCUGCUUUGGUAGUAAACAAUGACACCGUUACUUGCUUCUUACUGCACCAUGAAAUGCUUGUGUCUCCACAUAAGAACACAAAACCCGAAGUUGAUUUUCGAUCAUCUAAAUCUCCACCAAAGUCAGCAUCUGUGAAACCAUAUAGAGAAACCUUGGCAUUAUACUUGUACAUCAGUCCCAUGCCAAGAGUUGUCUUCACAUACUUAAAUUUCUUCUUUGCCGCUUCUAGAUGUGGCUUCCUUGGUUCCUGCAUGAACCGGCUUACAAGACUAACCGCAAAGGCAAUAUCUGGUCUUGUAAUGGUUAAGUAUAGAAGACUUCCAACAAGAGAGCGAUAAGGUCGAGGAUUGGCUAACAAGGAUCCUUCAUCGCGUUUGAGCCUUAUGUUAGUAUCUAGUGGAGUAGAACGUACCUUUCCUUGGUGUACUCCAAACCUGUCAACAAUCCUUUUUGCAUAACCUUGUUGGCCGAUGAAUAUUCCAUCCUUUACCCUCUCGACCUCUAGACCAAGAAAGUGAUUCAGCUCGCCUAACUUCUUCAUCUCAAACCUCACCGACAUAUCCUCUUGUAGACGAGCAAUUUCAGCAUCGUCAUUUCCAGUAAUGAUCAUAUCAUCCACGUAGAGGAGAACUACUACAUGAACUCUUCCACUUCUCUUGAAGAAUAGGCUUGGAUCAGCACUUGAUGCAAUAUAACCGCAAAACUGAAGGAAUUGAGCAAGCUUUCCAUACCAAGCUCGUGGAGCUUGUUUUAACCCGUACAAGGCCUUCUUUAGCUUGCACACAUGGUUAGGAUACUCUUGUGAUUCAAAACCAGGUGGUUGCUCCAUAAAUACUUCUUUAUCAAGCUCACCAUAGAGAAAAACAUUCUUCACAUCUAACUGCCAUAAUUUCCAUCCAAAGCUUGCAGCUAAAGAUAAGAGUGAGCGUACCGUAGUCAUCUUUGCUAUUGUCUGAAGGUCUCAUCAUAAUCUUCUCCGUACUUCUGAGAGAACCCUUGAGCAACCAACCUUGCUUUGUAUCUAUCAAUGCUCCCAUCUGAUUUUCGCUUUAGUCGAUACACCCAUUUACAAGAAACAGGCUGAGCAUCCUUGGGUUUCGGAACCAAAUUCCAAGUUUUGAUUUUCAUGAGAGCAUUAAUCUCCUCCUUCAUUGCGAUCAUCUAUUCCUCAACUCCUUUUGAUUUUUCAUAAGAUGAUGGUUCAUUUUCAUCUAGAGGAGCCGCAAAGUAACAAGAGUAAUUGGUGACGAACCUUUCAUCUCUGAACCGAGCGGGUUUGACAAUGUUCCUUUUUGAUCGUUGAUUGGCGACAGAACCAUGAUCAUGCUCUUCUUCGUCGUGGUCAAGUGCAUACGUGAUUCUCACUGGAGCAACCAAGGACCAGAGUAUAAGGGACAUGUGUCUUGCAACUGUGUAAUCCUUGAUGCCGUAUGUGUGAUUCUAAUCUCCGGAAACUGAGGAUAUGGUCCACUAAUGAUAGACAUUGUUUUUACUCGCUUCCUGUCGUUCUCUGGUUAUAAAUCUUGAUUGUGAAUUUUCUGUCGUCACUUAUUUGUUUGCUUGUAGAAAUCAUUUUGUGAUACUUGUUUUAGCUAAUAAUUUUUUUAAAAAUAAAAUUUAGAUAAACGAUUGUGGCUAGAAGCAAAGAUGUUGACAUUCAUUUGUUCGUUGUUUCACUCAUUCCUUAUCUAUCUGCUAUGAAAUCUUAUCUUCUUCCCAUGAGUUAUGGUUCGUCUUUGUUUUCUAUGCUAGUUCGUCGUGCUAAAAAAUCGAAGUUCCGAUCAGUUACCGUAGAUGGGGAAUAAAGAGCCAAAAAAGUAUUUAAAGCUGAUAGAUACCUUUAGGUUUUAUUUACCACAGGAUUUUUUUUGAACUGUCACAUGCACCACACAGUUUUAAAACUUAACCGCAGAAUCAGAUCUCUUAGAAAUACAAAGAGUUUAUAAGAACAACUUUUCUUAUUAGCUUUAGAAACUACUCAAAACUAAAGCUCUCAAUAUGUUUCUCUCAGAUCAUAUGGAACACCUCUCCAUUAGACCUAUAUUUAUAUGAAAGAAAAUUCCCUUUAACAUGUGGGAUAUGGAAAACACAAACCUAACUUAAAUAGAAACUUCCUUUUCCUAUUUCUAGGUUUCCUUAUUGUGUUUAUCUUAACAUAUUAAACAUCUAAUAAUAUGUUAAGUUUCCACAAGCUUGGAAUUAUCCAACAUUCACCCCCUUAAUUCCAACUUGAAUUAGGGAGAUCAAUUUCUUGAACUCCGAUUAAGCUCCUCAUUUGCUUGAACUCAAUCAUCAAGUAAUCAUCCUCCACCACACCAUGGUGUGCGAAUCCACCCAUUGAAUUCACAUCUUUCUCAAGGUUAGACCGGAUGCUCUCCUCGCUUCCGUACCGCCUCUUCUUAGAAUUGGCCCAGUUCUUGUAGAACCUUCUCCUGACCUCUUCACUUAAGUUGCGAUGAGUCUUGUGGCUGAAGCUCACUGCGACGAUAACUCUGGUCACGUCCGCCAUCUUGCGUACGUGAGCUCUGGUAAGGAUGUCGGCCUUCUGCUCAACACAAGUGAUUCAGUCGAUACAGAGGUGCGCUUGAAGUGGGGGGUGUGCUGUCCCUAUUGGAGGAACCCCUUCCCCAUAAGGCCCCACCGUCGGGGCAUAAGCGCCCUCUUGCUACCCAUACGCGAGGCGCCGUCUUAGCCUUCCCUGACCAGGAUCGCUCCCACACCUGUAGCGUUCGUGAUCGGCCUACUCAACUGUGUAUCGAUUGAAGGGCAGGAAUUUCCCACAACCAAAGGGAGUGGUUACGUCCAGUAUGUCCCCCCUUCUUCCCGACAUGCUAUGGUGCCCCGGGGUGGGUAGGAGCGGGUCGAGUCCGUAUCGCCGCGGAGCAACAGCCGCGUCCGGAUCAGAUCUAUCUACUCGGCAAUUCAUCCGGUGACUUCACGGUCGCCAAAGAAGCCCCUGGUCUUUGGUUCGUGUCGGUCUCUGGUUAUAAAUCUUGAUUGUGAAUUAUCUGUCGCCACUUAUGUGUCUGCUUGUAAAAAUGUAAAAGUCAUUUUGUGAUUCUUGUUUUAGCUAAUAAAUUAUUUUUAUAGAUAUAGAGAAACGAUUGUGGCUAGAAACAAAAGAUGUUUAAAUUCAUUCGUACGUUGUUUUCACUCAUCCUUAUCUAAGUCUUGUCAUCGUUCGUCUUUGUUUUCUAUGUUAGUUACAAUGGACCACUGUGCAUUUUCCUCGUGCUAAAAAUUGAAAUUCAAAUCAGUUACCAUAGAGUCUAAAGCCUAAAACACCAUCUUCUCAACUCAGCCCUCCCUGUACUAGAAACAAACCCAUAUCACGGGAAUUCAAAUCAGUUACCUUUAGUCUUUUUUACCACACAGGAUUUUUACUGCCACAUGCACCACGCUGUUUUAAAUUUAACCGCAUAAACUUCCUAUAAAUACCCGUACGUUGUGUUUGCUCUCUUCAACUCAACUCACUCAAACCCCAAAACACACACAAAACAAUCAAAAUGAAGACUUUUUUUCUAGUUACUCUCCUGUUGGCUGCAGCUGUCUGCACCCACGGCAGAGAACAGGUGAAGGACUCCAACGGAAAUCCAGUUAAGCGCGGUGCAAAAUACUUCAUCCAGCCGGCUAAGAGCAACGCCGGUGGUCUUGUUCCAGCCGCCAUUAACUUACUUCCGUUUUGUCCACUUGGCAUCACCCAGACACUUCUUCCCUACCAACCGGGCCUGCCGGUUAGCUUCGGAUAUGAGCCAGUUAUUGUCGGCACAGACUACAUUUACACAUCUACCACAAUAAACAUCGAGUUCGAGUCCGACAUCUGGCCCGUAUGCAACGAGCUUUCCAAGUUAUGGGCAGUCGAUGUUUCCUCAUCCGCUGCCAAGGAGCCUGCCAUUAUCAUCGGUGGUGAAAGUACGGCCCCAAAUAGCUUGUUUAAGAUAGAAGAAGCUACAGAAGCAAACACUUACAAGUUGACCACCUCGUACGGAACCGUUGGAACCAUCCCAGGGCCAUGGUUAAGUGCACCACAGCUGAUUGUCACCAAUGAUGAGUCUAAGACCUUAUUCGUCAAGUUCGUGAAAGUUGAUGAUGCUGCUACUAAGGCUACUACUUCUACUUCACGUGUUGAGAAGUUAGGUCUAAAGAUGUUCCCAUUCUACUAGUCAAAAUCAUGUAAUAUUGUAAAAAUCCUGAGACUCGUCCAUGGCCAUGAAUAACGGGUUGAGAUAAUACCCGCACGUAUGUAUGUAAGCUCGUUUUUA